rnacentral:rRNA from 1 species
CCUACGGGACGCAGCAGUGAGGAAUAUUGGUCAAUGGCCGGAAGGCUGAACCAGCCAAGCCGCGUGAAGGACGAAGGUGCCAAGCAUUGUAAACUUCUUUUGUCAAGGGACAAAAUCAGGCUCGAGAGCCGGACCGAGGGUACUUGAAGAAAAAGCAUCGGCUAACUCCGUGCCAGCAGCCGCGGUAAUAGGGAGGAUGCGAGCGUUAUCCGGAUUUAUUGGGUUUAAAGGGUGUGUAGGCGGGCUGUGAAGUGAGCGGUAAAAGCACUGGGCACAACCUCGGCGAGCCGUUGAAACGGGCUGUCUUGAGAUGUCGGGAGGUAUGCGGAAUGCGCAGUGUAGCGGUGAAAUGCUUAGAUAUUGCGCAGAACUCCGAUUGCGAAGGCAGCAUACCGGCGGCGAUCUGACGCUGAGGCACGAAAGCGUGGGUAUCGAACAGGAUUAGAUACCCCAGUAGUC